CACAAGCGGAGGAGCAUGUGGUUAAUUCGAUGAUACGCGAGGAACCGUUACCUGGGCUCGAACGUAAGAUGACUGUAGGUGAAAGCUUACAUCUCUUCGGAGCAUUUUACGAGGUGCUGCAUGGUUGUCGUCAGCUCGUGCCGUGAGGUGUCGGGUUAAGUCCCAUAACGAGCGCAACCCCUACCUUUAGUUGCCAUCAGGUUAAGCUGGGGACUCUAAAGGAACUGCCUACGCAAGUAGUGAGGAAGGCGGGGAUGACGUCAAAUCAGCACGGCCCUUACGUCCAGGGCUACACACGUGCUACAAUGGCCGAUACAGAGGGCAGCUACCUGGUGACAGGAUGCAAAUCUCCAAAGUCGGUCUCAGUUCGGAUCGGAGUCUGCAACCCGACUCCGUGAAGUUGGAUUCGCUAGUAAUCGCGCAUCAGCCAUGGCGCGGUGAAUACGUUCCCGGGCCUU
rnacentral:rRNA from 1 species